rnacentral:lncRNA from 1 species
AUUGGGAAAAGCUAGAACACUGAUGAUUAGAAAGAAGAAAAUCACAGAGAGGAUACCCCUCCAAAUAUUUUCCUCUGGGACAGAAUCAUCCCUGGUGAAGGCGAAGGCCAUGAGGCUGAGGAUGGUGAAGCUGAGGAGGGUGAUGGUGUGCGGCCGGUAGAAGAACUCCAGCGUGAUGUCCUCCACCUGCUGCUCGUUGAUCAUGCGGAAAUGCAGGCGGUAGUUCACGUCGUCUUUGCUCAGGGUCCGGCUCCCCACGCACGCCGCCAUCUCGACCCCUUCCCCUCGGCCCUACUCGCCCGAGCCCGGCGACGCCGCCACCGAGGGGAGAACCGCCGCGCCCGCCGCGCCGAGGGGCGGACCCAGCGCUGCCGCUCACCCACGCGACGGGAGAAGGCGGGGGGGGGUAGGCGGAGCAGAACCGCCUCCUCGUGGAAGCGG